rnacentral:ncRNA from 1 species
AUAAAAAUAAUUAUGUUUUAAAAAUUUUAUUAAAAAUUUAUUUUACAUAUAAAUUUUAGUGUAUAUUUUUAAUUAUUUAAAUAAUAAUAAAUAAAAUACGUAGUAAUUAGUAUUAAAAAUUUAAGAAAUUAAGAUUUAGUAAUAUAUAAAUUAAUAACUAAUUUUGUGCCAGCAGUUGCGGUUAAACAAAAGUUAAAUUAAAAUAUUUCAGUUUAUAAUAAAUAAAAUUGCUUUAAAAUAAAUAUUAAAUUAUUAGGUGAAAUUUUAAUUUAAUUAAAUUUUAUAUAAAAAUUAUGAUUUAAUAAAUUUAAAAAUAAACUAGGAUUAGAUACCCUAUUAUUAAAAAUUUAAUUUAUAAUACUAAAAUAGUAAAUAAUAAUUUAUUGAAACUUAAAUAAUAUGGCGGUAUUUUAGUUCAUUUAGAGGAAUCUGUCUAAUAAUUGAUAAUCCACGAAUAAAUUUACUUAAUUUAAAAUUUUGUAUAUCAUUGUUAAAAAAAUAUUUUUUAGUAAAAAUAAUAUUUAAAAAUUAAUAAUAAAAAUUAGUUCAGAUCAAGAUGCAGAUAAUAAUUAAGAAUAUGAUGGAUUACAAUAAAAAUAUUUAAAUGAAUAAUUUAUUGUAAUAUAAAUUUGAAGGUGGAUUUAAAUGUAAUUUUAAUUAAUUUAUUAAAAUGAUUAAAAAUUAAAAUAUGUACAUAUUGCCCGUCACUUUCAUUUAAAAAUUGAAAUAAGUCGUAACAAAGUAGAGGUACUGGAAAGUGUUUCUAGAAAGA